GUAUAAUGCAGAAAUCCGUAUUUCAGGAACAAUGCAAACAGUGCAAAAAAGGGGAUUCAUAAUACUUGUCUUCAGGGUUCUAUUGCAAUUACUACUGAUGGGUAAUGAAACCAACUUGAAGAGCUGUCAAAAUGUGAGCUCUUUGCUUCCUUUGUUUCAUCACUAGCUACAUCUGAAAGUAACAUGAGUUCUACAUUUUUGUGGAGAGCAGUGAGUG